rnacentral:tRNA from 1 species
GCCUGGGUGGCUCAGUCGGUUGCGUGUCUGACUUCAGCUCAGGUCAUGAUCUCUCAGCUCGUGGGUUUGAGCCCCGCAUCAGGCU